AGAUUAUUGUGUUGGGAUCUUCACAUUUGAUGGAUUUCACCACAUGGUGAGAAAGACUGAUCAGAAUCGUUACAAACCAAUGUGAUAAUGGUCAAGCAGAGAAAAUGACACUUGGGCAAAUUGGGGCCUUUGUCCUCCUGUUCUAGGAGCACAAAACUAACCUCCCAUCACUCCUCACUACCUUGCUGAACCCCAAGCCAGGCACCAGCAAUCUCUCAGCAAAUCCUCAAGUAAAACCUCUGCCUCCCGGUCUCCUGCCUCAGCCUCCCAAGUAAUUGGGAUUACAGGUCAAAUCAGUCAGAAGAAAUUAUCAACCUCAGGCAGACAAAGUCAAAAUUGUCUCCUCUGUGCUUUUUCCAAAUCACCCACCACAAAACCCAGGUAUCUUUUAUUGUAUUGCUAAACUAAGAUGCAAGAGAAGCA
rnacentral:lncRNA from 1 species